rnacentral:rRNA from 1 species
UACGGAGGGGGCUAGCGUUGUUCGGAAUUACUGGGCGUAAAGCGCGCGUAGGCGGAUCUGCAAGUCGGGGGUGAAAGCCCGAGGCUCAACCUCGGAAAUGCCUUCGAUACUGCGGGUCUCGAGUCCGGGAGAGGUGAGUGGGAAUUCCUAGUGUAGAGGUGAAAUUCGUAGAUAUUAGGAAGAACACCAGUGGCGAAGGCGGCUCACUGGCCCCGGUACUG